rnacentral:rRNA from 1 species
UCGGGAAUAUUGCGCAAUGGAGGAAACUCUGACGCAGUGACGCCGCGUAUGGGAAGAAGGUUUUCGGAUUGUAAACCAUUGUCGUUAGGGAAGAAGAAGUGACAGUACCUAAGGAGGAAGCUCCGGCUAACUAUGUGCCAGCAGCCGCGGUAAUACAUAGGGAGCGAGCGUUAUCCGGAUUUAUUGGGUGUAAAGGGUGCGUAGACGGGAAUUUAAGUUGGUUGUGAAAUCCCUCGGCUCAACCGAGGAACUGCAACCAAAACUGGAUUUCUUGAGUACUGGAGAGGAAAGUGGAAUUCCUAGUGUAGCGGUGAAAUGCGUAGAUAUUAGGAGGAACACCAGUGGCGAAGGCGACUUUCUGGACAGUAACUGACGUUGAGGCACGAAAGUGUGGGGAGCAAACAGG